CUAUCUUCACUUUGGAAGUACUAAAAUUGGAACGAUACAGAGAAGAUUAGCAUGGCCUCCGUGCAAGGAUGACAUGUAAAUUCAUGAAGCAUUACAUAUUUUU
rnacentral:snRNA from 1 species